AUUGAACGCUGGCGGUAUGCUUAACACAUGCAAGUCGAACGAUGAGAAAGAGCUUGCUCUUUCGAUUAGUGGCGGACGGGUGCGUAACGCGUAGGAAUCUACCUAUUAGUGGGGGACAACUUAGGGAAACUUAAGCUAAUACCGCAUACGCCCUACGGGGGAAAGAAGGGGAUCGCAAGACCUUUUGCUAAUAGAUGAGCCUGCGUAGGAUUAGCUAGUUGGUGGGGUAAAAGCUCACCAAGGCGACGAUCCUUAACUGGUUUGAGAGAAUGAUCAGUAACACUGGAACUAACACACGGUCCAGACUCCUACGGGAGGCAGCAGGGGGGAAUAUUGGACAAUGGGCGAAAGCCUGAUCCAGCAAUACCGCGUGUGUGAAGAAGGCCUUAGGGUUGUAAAGCACUUUCAAUUGGAAGGAAAACCUCGAAGCUAAUACCUUCGAGUUUGACAUUACCUUUAGAAGAAGCACCGGCUAACUCCGUGCCAGCAGCCGCAGUAACAC
rnacentral:rRNA from 1 species